GGGGCUGUUGCUCAGUGGUAGAGCGCUCAUCUGGCACACGCGAGGCACUGGGUUCAAUCCUCAGCACCACA
rnacentral:tRNA from 1 species